rnacentral:tRNA from 2 species
GGGCUGCUAGCUCAUUUGGUAGAGCACCGCCUUUGCAAGGCGGGGGUGCGGGGUUCGAAUCCCCGGCAGUCCA